AUUGAACGCUGGCGGCAGGCUUAACACAUGCAAGUCGAGCGGAGAGAGGUAGCUUGCUACUGAUCUUAGCGGCGGACGGGUGAGUAAUGCUUAGGAAUCUGCCUAUUAGUGGGGGACAACAUUUCGAAAGGAAUGCUAAUACAGCAUCCGUCCUACGGGAGAAAGCAGGGGAUCUUCGGACCUUGCGCUAAUAGAUGAGCCUAAGUCGGAUUAGCUAGUUGGUGGGGUAAAGGCCUACCAAGGCGACGAUCUGUAGCGGGUCUGAGAGGAUGAUCCGCCACACUGGGACUGAGACACGGCCCAGACUCCUACGGGAGGCAGCAGUGGGGAAUAUUGGACAAUGGGCGGAAGCCUGAUCCAGCCAUGCCGCGUGUGUGAAGAAGGCCUUAUGGUUGUAAAGCACUUUAAGCGAGGAGGAGGCUACUUUAGUUAAUACCUAGAGAUAGUGGACGUUACUCGCAGAAUAAGCACCGGCUAACUCUGUGCCAGCCGCCGCAGUAACAC
rnacentral:rRNA from 1 species